rnacentral:rRNA from 1 species
GACGGAGGGGGCUAGCGUUGUUCGGAAUUACUGGGCGUAAAGCGCACGUAGGCGGCUUUGUAAGUUAGAGGUGAAAGCCCGGGGCUCAACUCCGGAAUUGCCUUUAAGACUGCAUCGCUAGAAUUGUGGAGAGGUAAGUGGAAUUCCGAGUGUAGAGGUGAAAUUCGUAGAUAUUCGGAAGAACACCAGUGGCGAAGGCGACUUACUGGACACAUAUUGACGCUGAGGUGCGAAAGCGUGGGGAGCGAACAGG